rnacentral:rRNA from 1 species
UCGCGAAAACUUCACAAUGGGGGAAACCCCGAUGAGGGAAUUCCAAGUGCCAGCACAUUGUGUUGGCUGUUCUCUGGUCUAAAAAACCGGAGAAGUAAGGGCCGGGUAAGACGGGUGCCAGCCGCCGCGGUAAUACCCGCGGCCCGAGUGGUGGUCGAUAUUAUUGAGCCUAAAACGUCCGUAGCCGGUCUUGUAAAUCCUUGGGUAAAUCGACCAGCUUAACUGUUCGAAGUCCGGGGAGACUGCAAGACUUGGGAUCGGGAGAGGUGAGAGGUACUUCUGGGGUAGGGGUAAAAUCCUGUAAUCCUAGAAGGACCACCAGUGGCGAAGGCGUCUCACCAGAACGGACCUGACGGCAAGGGACGAAAGCUAGGGGCACGAACC